AGAAAGAUAAGAAACCAUCUACUGCAAACACAAAAAAUGAGAUGAAGGUCGAGGGACUUGGUACUCCUCUUAGAUCUCUUAAGAACAAUAAGAAAAAUUCAGAUGGCAACAAUCUGAAAAUGCAGUCUGAGAAAUCAAAAACCCCUGCAGAGUCUGUUAUUGGGGAAGCUGAAAAUUCUACACUGUCCUCAACAAAACCUCAGCUUGAAGCUAAUGCAAAUGAAAAUGAACUUGCACUGAAGAGGAUGCUAUCUGAUGCAGCUUUUGCCCGGCUUAAACAAUCUAAAACUGGACUCCACCGCAAGUCUUUACAGGAACUAGUUGAUCUGUCCUAGAAAUAUUACAGUGAAGUUGCACUUCCGAAACUGGUUGCAGAUUUUGGUUCAUUGGAACUCUCACCAGUGGAUGGUCGGACGCUGACCGAUUUCAUGCAUACUAGAGGUCUUCGAAUGCGUUCUCUGGGACAUGUUGUAAGUGCUGUACUCCCCUAGGU